UUGACCUCAAAUCAGGUAGGAUUACCCGCUGAACUUAAGCAUAUCA
rnacentral:rRNA from 10 species